rnacentral:rRNA from 1 species
GAAUCUUGCGCAAUGGGCGAAAGCCUGACGCAGCGACACCGCGUGAGGGACGAAGGCCCUCGGGUUGUAAACCUCUUUCGGCAGGGACGAAGCGAUCGUGACGGUACCUGCAGACGAAGCUCCGGCUAACUACGUGCCAGCCGCCGCGGUAAGACGUAGGGAGCGAGCGUUGUCCGGAUUCAUUGGGCGUAAAGAGCGCGCAGGCGGUUCGGUAAGUCGGUUGUGAAAUCCCGGGGCUCAACCCCGGAAUCGCGUCCGAUACUGCCGGACUAGAGGUAGGUAGGGGAGAUCGGAAUUCCUGGUGUAGCGGUGGAAUGCGCAGAUAUCAGGAGGAACACCGGUGGCGAAGGCGGAUCUCUGGGCCUUACCUGACGCUCAGGCGCGAAAGCUAGGGGAGCGAACAGG